rnacentral:rRNA from 1 species
GAGUUUGAUCCUGGCUCAGGAUGAACGCUGGCGGCGUGCUUAACACAUGCAAGUCGAACGAAGCACUUUAUUUGAUUUCCUUCGGGACUGAUUAUUUUGUGACUGAGUGGCGGACGGGUGAGUAACGCGUGGGUAACCUGCCUUGUACAGGGGGAUAACAGUCAGAAAUGGCUGCUAAUACCGCAUAAGCGCACAGAGCUGCAUGGCUCAGUGUGAAAAACUCCGGUGGUAUAAGAUGGACCCGCGUUGGAUUAGCUUGUUGGUGGGGUAACGGCCCACCAAGGCGACGAUCCAUAGCCGGCCUGAGAGGGUGAACGGCCACAUUGGGACUGAGACACGGCCCAGACUCCUACGGGAGGCAGCAGUGGGGAAUAUUGCACAAUGGGGGAAACCCUGAUGCAGCGACGCCGCGUGAAGGAAGAAGUAUCUCGGUAUGUAAACUUCUAUCAGCAGGGAAGAUAGUGACGGUACCUGACUAAGAAGCCCCGGCUAACUACGUGCCAGCCGCCGCGGUAAUAC